CCGGAGGCCCCGGUCUUAACACAUGCAAGUCGAGCGGUAACAGGAGAAGCUUGCUUCUCGCUGACGAGCGGCGGACGGGUGAGUAAUACUUAGGAAUCUACCUAGUAGUGGGGGAUAGCUCGGGGAAACUCGAAUUAAUACCGCAUACGACCUACGGGAGAAAGGGGGCAACUUGUUGCUCUCGCUAUUAGAUGAGCCUAAGUCGGAUUAGCUAGAUGGUGGGGUAAAGGCCUACCAUGGCGACGAUCUGUAGCUGGUCUGAGAGGAUGAUCAGCCACACCGGGACUGAGACACGGCCCGGACUCCUACGGGAGGCAGCAGUGGGGAAUAUUGGACAAUGGGGGCAACCCUGAUCCAGCCAUGCCGCGUGUGUGAAGAAGGCCUUUUGGUUGUAAAGCACUUUAAGCAGUGAAGAAGACUCCAUGGUUAAUACCCAUGGACGAUGACAUUAGCUGCAGAAUAAGCACCGGCUAACUCUGUGCCAGCAGCCGCGGUAAUACAGAGGGUGCAAGCGUUAAUCGGAAUUACUGGGCGUAAAGCGAGCGUAGGUGGCUUGAUAAGUCAGAUGUGAAAGCCCCGGGCUUAACCUGGGAACGGCAUCUGAUACUGUUAGGCUAGAGUAGGUGAGAGGAAAGGUAGAAUUCCAGGUGUAGCGGUGAAAUGCGUAGAGAUCUGGAGGAAUACCGAUGGCGAAGGCAGCCUUCUGGCAUCAUACUGACACUGAGGUUCGAAAGCGUGGGUAGCAAACAGGAUUAGAUA
rnacentral:rRNA from 1 species